GGGGGGCAUGGGACCCGGAAGGCGCUGCCCUGGCCUCGAGGGGCCCCGGGGAGCCCCUCCUCGCCCCGCGGGGACCCCCGCCCAGAGGCGACCCCGAACCCGGCCAGAAAACUACGGGGACCCCGGCCUGAUCCUCGGGAGACGCCGGAGCAUUCCCGCCCUCUGCGCCCCGACGGGCUCUGGAACUCCCCCUUCGCGCCCCCAGCCUGUCCGCCAGCCCCCUGCCUUCCUAACCCCAGCCCCUGGCGAACGCAGCGUGCUUCCACACACCCCUCUUUCAUGCCCGGGCUCCCCCUUUCCCGCCCAGACCGCCCUAGAGCCCGCUCUUUCCGCUUCUCGGCUCCAGAGCUCCCGCUCCUCCUUCCCCGGGGUCGCCUCGAGCCCCCGUUCCCGGCAUUCCGUGCACCCCGAGCCGCCCCGGCCCGCCCGCCGCUCCUUGCCGAGCAGCCAGACCCGGUGCGCGGGUCUGGAGGCGCCCCGCCUUCCCCGUGGCCAUCCAUCCUCCCCCUCGCGCCUCCCCGGUGACUCCACCGUUUCCAGCUCAUCUUCCCCGCACUUUCUUCCCUCCACUUUCCCCGGUGACAUCCACCUCCAGGUCCUCCCCGACACCCACGUUCUCUCCCAAGUGGCUGGCCUCGCCGCCCGGUGGCACCCCUCCCCAUUCUAGCCGCUUACCCGGGAGCGUCCCUACCUUUUCCCAGCUCUGCCCCACCCCCGCCCGCCCGCCCGCCCCCAAGGGCACUCCCCAGUCACCCUCUCCCCUGACGAUGACUGCCUCCCCCUCGUCUCAAACCACCCUCCUGCGGUCCCCCGCCACAGUUUCCUCUUGAAGGAAGGAGGACUUCAGGUGCUGUCUGCGCUGCUUCCCCCUCGGUCCACUCCUGCCCUUUCCGAGCCUCGAGGGGAGAAGGUGGCCCUUCAGUAGUCCGUGGUGCCCACUCUCGGGUCGGAGAGAUUAGUCAAAUUGGCCCUAGAGGAGGAAUAGGAUAAGGGCCCCGGGGGAAAGGUGUCAGGUGAGAAGGGGGAGAAAAGAUGGAAUGGGUACUUCUGCUUCUCAAAGGCAUGUCGUUUAAAGAGCCACCGAAGAAACGGAACCCUGCCCGGGACUUCAUAGGACCACAGAGCAGACAGACAUCUAGGACAGGAAGAGCAAUUAGAAGGAACCACAGCAUGGGGGCUCAGAUCAGAGGACGCUGAGGUCAGGCUUGGAUUGGAAUGCCUGCCCUGUAUGACCUUGGGUAGUUGUUCAACCUCAGCUUUUCUCCUCUGCAAAAUGGGGUGCUGAUCCUAACCUCAGACGGGUUGAAGGGUGGAAGUAGAUACAUUCCCUUUUAAAGCACUUGUCACUGUACGUGACACAUAGUUUUCAUUAAAAAAAAAAACUUUAGAGAAAAGAGAGUAGAUGGAAGUUUUCAGGAAUGCAUUUGCCUGACUUGGCUUCACCAGGGGGCUCUAGAAAAAACCUCGGUUUAGGGUGAAAAAUGAUCAGGGGGUAGGCCAAGGAGAGUAAAUCCUGCUAGAGAAAGUCUGGAUUAUUUGUAUGUUACGGAAAGGCUGGUGGUUUAAUUAACUCCAGGGCAAUACCCAUUAGGAUUGUAGCGGUGACUGGCGCCGUUCUCUGUUGACCUGUCAACACUGAACUAGCUGAAUAGAGAAAUUUCUAGAUAGAGUGGGAGAUUGUCUCCGGAUUUUUAGUUGGAGCAUGUUUCACUUGAUGCUUACUAUCGGUGGUUUGUACUAUAAACUAGGUCUAGGAAGAUAGAACAGACAACGUCAGAUGGCCUUAGCUGUUUAUGAGGUGUCUUAGGAGAAGCAUCCCCCUGGGAAGCCACAGUGUAUGGCAUGACGGGUCAGUCGAUAGGAAUUUUGGCAGAAGAAGAACAGGUUGAGUACUUAGUGAAAUUCAUUAAGAAGAGUUCAUUUGCUUAUUGGACAUUAGACUGAUGAAAAUGGGUGUGAAAGGAUGGAUGUGGACCUAGAGGCAGUCCUGCAGCCAUAACCCCUUUUUGUGACAGUGACAGGUUCUUUCGGCUGUGGGUGCAUGUCAGCCAUGUCUAAACGGAAAAAUGUAUCCCACUGAGGUGGUAACCACCCUUUCUAUUAGAAGGAUUAGAAGCCAGAUCUUCCAACAGAAGUGGAGCUCAUCCACUUCAUUCAAAUUCCUCAUUGGUAGAUGUUGAGGUCAGUGGGACCCAGUGCACAGGGAUGGGCUUCUGCCAUGCUGAGAUUCCCAUGUCACUGAUCCCUGAGAAGGCCGCCAAGCACUACAAUUUUUCAUUGUAUCUCCUUACAUGCAAGUCUUCUAAAAGGCAGAUCUGUUGGUGGGAAAGGGGAAGCUGGAAAAAGGAUGUGGAGUGGUUACCUUCAGCCAGUUUGGUCGUUUGACUUGGCUUUCCUGUUACUGAGGUUAAUUUUUCAAGCGACUGGGUUUGGACAGUUGCGUGGCCCGCCUUUCCAAAAAGGCUAAGGCAGUCUAGAAAACUAGAAGGUUUUAUGUGCUUUGGGAUGUGAACACCUUAUUUGGGAUAAUCAUUAACAUGAGCUUAGAAAAUAAUAUCGGGUCAAACCAUAUGAAAUUUCUGUUUCUGCAGGUUGUACAUCAUGACAGUUUGGUAUGGCUCAACCCGAUACAUUUCCAAGCAACAACAAUUGUUUUCUGGCGUAACGGAAAGUGUCAGACUUAUAUUUUCUUCCAGGUUUAAUUUUUUCCAGCCUUCCUUUUGAUUUGCUCUGUAUACCCUGUGGCCACAUUUUGCCCAAGGGCUAAAGGGAAGUCAUCACUCCAAGAGGGUGUUCAGAAAUAGGUAGACUUGAAUUUGAGAUGAGGGAAAUCAUGUUGGUUAUAAUAUAACCCCGCCACAAUUUCAGCCUAGCCAUUAACUCAGUACUUUUGAUACCUAAUGCCAGCUGUAAUGUUGGUGACUCACAGUUUCAGAGCAAAGGGAAAUUUUCCUGGACUCGAGGGGUCAUCUGAAAUGGCCUGAUGGUAUUGUUUGAUCAAGGAAAUUGAAGGUGCAGAAAAUCACUAAAUAUGACUGUAGUGAGUUUGUAAUGGAUACAAAGUACUUUUAGCUACUUUACUCUCUCCAUCCCAAACCAAUGAGUAAUUAUUUUAAAUAUGCCUUCAUUGGACAUUGUUUUUCUUUGGGAGGGGGAGUGGUUGUUGUUAACUCAACAGUAAUAUUUUAUAUCAGCAGUUUAAAAGUGGAAAUGAAAAGGAUGGGGCAGAAAGUGUGAUGGAAGUGGUAGAUUUGAAAAAGGAAGAGGAAGGUGAAAUGGUGAUAAAAAUUCUUCUUUUCUCGAGUCCGGUCUGCCCCAUAGCUUAAGUUAUUCUUGUUUAUUUAAUUACUUAUUGUACCUGCGCUGAUGAAAUGACCCUGUUCCUUUCAGGAUUCUGAAGAAAACUUUGAACGUAUUUAUGAUCCUUUUACCUUUUAUGAAAAAGACCUGAGAGCUCAGAGUACUGUCAUAUUCCAGUCUUAUCGGGUCUUUUAGAAGAUAAAUGAACAACUUAUUGACGUGUAUAUGAGUGCUGAUUUUAAAACAUCUUAAUUAGUUUAUGGUGCCGUCAUAUGGGAAGGUUGUAUAAAGGUUACUGACCUUUGCAAAUUGUUAAACAUUGCCAAUUUUGAGAGAGGUGCCCGUGCGUGGUUAGAGGUGAUACACUAUGCAUUGAUUAAAUUUUAGUGAUUGCAGCUCUACCGCUUAAACUAAUUUUUCUUUUGUCUUCUGGUAAUUGAGGAAAGGAAAUGUGGAAUGGUUUUUCCCUUUUGGCCUGCUUAGUUCCAAGGAAAGUUUGAUUCAUGGCUGGCUUUUGGACCACAGGAACCAGUAAUUCUAAUCCUGCCCGUCAUGACCAGAUGACCUUGAGCAAGUCGCUUGAUUCUUUGAUCUUAAACUUGGCACGAAAACCAAAGUUGGUUGAUAAACUAGAACUGCGUCUUAGUCAGACUUUGAAUGAGUUGUUUUUACCUAUAGAAAGUUGAGAAUUUAUUCACAUUCUUAUACAAAUAU